rnacentral:rRNA from 1 species
AUUGAACGCUGGCGGCAGGCUUAACACAUGCAAGUCGAGCGAGAAAGUUCUCUUCGGAGAAUGAGUAGAGCGGCGGACGGGUGAGUAACGCGUAGGAAUCUACCUAGUAGUGGGGGACAACAGUUGGAAACGACUGCUAAUACCGCAUACGCCCCUAGGGGGAAAGCAGGGGAUCUUCGGACCUUGCGCUAUUAGAUGAGCUUGCGUCGGAUUAGCUAG